rnacentral:rRNA from 1 species
GUUGGGUAGGGGAGCGUUCUGUAAGCCUGCGAAGGUGUACUGUGAGGUAUGCUGGAGGUAUCAGAAGUGCGAAUGCUGACAUAAGUAACGAUAAUGCGGGUGAAAAACCCGCACGCCGGAAGACCAAGGGUUCCUGUCCAACGUUAAUCGGGGCAGGGUGAGUCGACCCCUAAGGCGAGGCUGAAAAGCGUAGUCGAUGGGAAACGGGUUAAUAUUCCCGUACUGGUGGUAACUGCGAUGGGGGAACGGAGAAGGCUAGGUUGUCCGGGCGACGGUCGUCCCGGUUCAAGCAGGUAGGCAGAGUGAUUAGGCAAAUCCGGUCACUUAAUGCUGAGAUGUGAUGACGAACCACCAAGGUGGUGAAGCAAUUGAUGCCCCGCUUCCAGGAAAAGCCUCUAAGCUUCAGGUUACCAACAAUCGUACCCCAAACCGACACAGGUGGUCAGGUAGAGAAUACUCAGGCGCUUGAGAGAACUCGGGUGAAGGAACUAGGCAAAAUGGUGCCGUAACUUCGGGAGAAGGCACGCUGGCGGUAGGUAAAGUCCCUCGCGGACGGCGCUGAAGCCAGUCGAAGAUACCAGCUGGCUGCAACUGUUUAUUAAAAACACAGCACUGUGCAAACACGAAAGUGGACGUAUACGGUGUGACGCCUGCCCGGUGCUGGAAGGUUAAUUGAUGGGGUUAGCGCAAGCGAAGCUCCUGAUCGAAGCCCCAGUAAACGGCGGCCGUAACUAUAACGGUCCUAAGGUAGCGAAAUUCCUUGUCGG